rnacentral:rRNA from 1 species
AGGGUAACGGCUUACCAAGGCAACGAUGCAUAGCCGACCUGAGAGGGUGAUCGGCCACACUGGAACUGAGACACGGUCCAGACUCCUACGGGAGGCAGCAGUAGGGAAUCUUCCGCAAUGGGCGAAAGCCUGACGGAGCAACGCCGCGUGAGUGAUGAAGGUCUUCGGAUCGUAAAACUCUGUUAUUAGGGAAGAACAUAUGUGUAAGUAACUGUGCACAUCUUGACGGUACCUAAUCAGAAAGCCACGGCUAACUACGUGCCAGCAGCCGCGGUAAUACGUAGGUGGCAAGCGUUAUCCGGAAUUAUUGGGCGUAAAGCGCGCGUAGGCGGUUUUUUAAGUCUGAUGUGAAAGCCCACGGCUCAACCGUGGAGGGUCAUUGGAAACUGGAAAACUUGAGUGCAGAAGAGGAAAGUGGAAUUCCAUGUGUAGCGGUGAAAUGCGCAGAGAUAUGGAGGAACACCAGUGGCGAAGGCGACUUUCUGGUCUGUAACUGACGCUGAUGUGCGAAAGCGUGGGGAUCAAACAGGAUUAGAUACCCUGGUAGUCCACGCCGUAAACGAUGAGUGCUAAGUGUUAGGG